rnacentral:rRNA from 1 species
AUGCACGCUGGCGGCGUGCCUCAUACAUGCAAGUCGAGCGAACGGAUGAGGAGCUUGCUCCUCUGACGUUAGCGGCGGACGGGUGAGUAACACGUGGAUAACCUACCUAUAAGACUGGGAUAACUUCGGGAAACCGGAGCUAAUACCGGAUAAUAUAUUGAACCGCAUGGUUCAAUAGUGAAAGACGGUUUUGCUGUCACUUAUAGAUGGAUCCGCGCCGCAUUAGCUAGUUGGUAAGGUAACGGCUUACCAAGGCAACGAUGCGUAGCCGACCUGAGAGGGUGAUCGGCCACACUGGAACUGAGACACGGUCCAGACUCCUACGGGAGGCAGCAGUAGGGAAUCUUCCGCAAUGGGCGAAAGCCUGACGGAGCAACGCCGCGUGAGUGAUGAAGGUCUUCGGAUCGUAAAACUCUGUUAUUAGGGAAGAACAAAUGUGUAAGUAACUAUGCACGUCUUGACGGUACCUAAUCAGAAAGCCACGGCUAACUACGUG